rnacentral:rRNA from 1 species
GGGCCCGCACAAGCGGUGGAGCAUGUGGUUUAAUUCGAUGAUACGCGAGGAACCUUACCAGGGCUUAAAUGGGAGAUGACAGGGGCAGAGACGCCCUUUUCUUCGGACAUCUUUCAAGGUGCUGCAUGGUUGUCGUCAGCUCGUGCCGUGAGGUGUCAGGUUAAGUCCUAUAACGAGCGCAACCCCUACCGUUAGUUGCCAGCGAUUCAAGUCGGGGACUCUAACGGGACUGCCGGUGCAAACCGUGAGGAAGGUGGGGGACGACGUCAAAUCAUCACGGCCCUUACGUCCUGGGCUACACACGUGCUACAAUGGUCGGUACAGAGGGAAGCUACCCCGUAAGGGGAUG